rnacentral:tRNA from 1 species
GGGAAUAUGGCUUAGUGGUAGAGUGCUUGCCUAACAUGCAUGAAUCCCUGGGUUCGAUUCCUUAGUACCA